GAAUUUACCAUAGAAACUACAUAUAUCUGAGCCAAGUGAUUUAAAGGGACUAACCAAGCAAAGUAAAGAAACAAUGAAGAAGGGAACUGAGGCAGCCAGCCAAGCAACACCAAGUUACUCUAUAACCAGGGAAGAUCUCCUGUCAGCAGGUAGG